AUAUGACUGCGUCAGAGUAUGCCCGAAAGUUCCUAGAGUUGGGCCGGUAUUUCCUGAGAGCAUGAUGGAUAAAUGUAGAAAGGUAAGGAAGUUCGAGUGGGACAUCCAUCCUAAAGAUUAGACAACAGCUGUAUGUCUUCGAGCUCAGUAGUUACUCAGUUGUUCUGGUUAAGGUACAGCUAGUGGAGAGGAACCUUUGCAUUUUUUAUCCAGCAGUGGAGAACCUCACGCCGCAGACCAGCACCCACUGCAUUUUUUUAGUAGAAUAAGAGACCUAGGCUAAUGACUCAGGUUCCUCUUCAGAUUCCGGUAACAGGACGCGGCUUGAUAGUAUUGUGGCAAGGAUCAUGAGGACUAACCCUGCUAUCGCCUUAACAAUACUUGCCGUAUAUAUAAAAGUGCCCAACACUACGCGAGAGAGUGCCCAAGGAAUCAGAAUCAGACUAGACCUCCUAUUUAGGGUAGAGCUUACAGUUUCAUUCAGCAAGAUGCAAAAGCCAACCCAGACGUGAUACAUGGUACGUACACUAUCUGUAAUCAUUUUGCACAUGUUUUGAUUGAUACUAGUGUCUCACAUUUAUUUGUCUCACAUACUUUUACACUAAACUUGAAGGUAUUACUUGAAAAACUUAAUUCUGUAUUGUUUGUGUUUACUCCUGGGAGUAGGACGCUGCUAGAGGAGGUUAUAUACAAAUCUUGUAUCAUAAAUAUAAUAGAUAGAAAAUAUAGUGUGGACUUAAUAGAAAUUGACACGAGGGACUUUGAUGUAAUCCUAGAAAUGGACUGGCUAGCGGCGUAUUACGCCACCGUAGAUUAUUUUCACCAAAAACUUGUAUUCAACCCUAAUAAUAAAGAAUUAUUUACAAAUUAAUAAAAUUAUUAUGUAAGGAAUGAAAAUUCUACUUAUAUUAUUUUGCUUUCGCAUUUAAUUUAUAAUUUUAUUUUCUUUUAAAUUCUGAGUAUUUAUAGUUAGUAUCAG
rnacentral:lncRNA from 1 species